GCCCAGGUGGUGAAAUUGGUAGACGCGCUGGCUUCAGGUGCCAGUCCUCGCAAGGGGGUGAAGGUUCGAGUCCUUUCCUGGGCACCA
rnacentral:tRNA from 1 species